UCUUGGUAGGUGGUAGGGAUUUGGGAUCUUCCUCCGCAGAAGGUAACUCUGCUGGUGAGGAUAUCUCUAUGUUUUAACGAAGAGCAUUUAUCCCUCUUACAGGCUUGAAAAGAAGGUCAGAAUUCACGAUAAGUUUUGUUUUUCUUUCAAGUUUUGCCAGUAACGUCGGAGCUCAGUUAAACCAAGCACCAUUAGGGUGUGUUGAACGAGAUACCGCGCCAGCCCCCUCGGGGAGCCCGGCUGCCCACACGGCUGCGUUGGGGGCCGUGCCUGUGCCUCCCGCCGCUCCCCUCUCCGCUCUCCCAGCUCCCCGCUCUGCUCUCCCCGCUCUCCCCGCUCCGCUCUCCCCGCUCUCCCCGCUCCCUGCCGCGGAGCCCCGCGCCAGGCCCGGCCUGCUGGGGAGGAGCAGCGAGGGAAGGCAGCCAGAGUGCGCUAUGGGCCUGCGUGCCCGGUGGGACUGGGGGGAGGUGGAGCUGGCGGGAGCCGCCGCAGAGGAGCGGGGCCCUCAGAGCAGCUCCUCAUAACGUGAGGCGGCCGAAACUCUGCUCCCAACUGCGCCGUAGCCGCAUUCUCCUUGGCGUGGGAUGGGAAAUAGAAGUGCAUAUUAAGUCCCAUGUACUCCAGGAAAAAAACCCAACAGGAGUGUGUGCUGUUAUCCUGGGGACUGCUCUGAACUCUUACAGUUCUACACUAUGUGAAACACCUGUUAUUGUAAGCAUUGAUGAUACUGAAGAAAUAACAAGGCUCUAAGCACAGAAACCUGUGUUAAUAGUUUGCAGGUUAAAUAUAUAAAGGGAUGACUUGGCUAUGGGAACUUUCCCCUUCUUCAGGCAGUAUUUG
rnacentral:lncRNA from 1 species